GAUGAAGAACGUAGCGAAAUGCGAUAAGUAGUGUGAAUUGCAGAAUUCAGUGAAUCAUCGAAUCUUUGAACGCACAUUGCGCCCCUUGGUAUUCCAUGGGGCAUGCCUGUUCGAGCGUCAUUUGUACCUUCAAGCUUUUCUUGGUGUUGGGUGUUUGUCUCGCCUUUGCGUGUAGACUCGCCUUAAAAUAAUUGGCAGCCGGCGUAUUGAUUUCGGAGCGCAGUACAUCUCGCGCUUUGCACUCAUAACGACAGCGUCCAAAAGUACAUUUUACACUCUUGACCUCGGAUCAGGUAGGGAUACCCGCUGAACUUAAGCAUAUCAAUAAGCGGAGGA
rnacentral:misc_RNA from 1 species